UGCAAUGUAGUUUAUUAAAAAUUCCUACUUUACACGUAGGAGAUUCCUUUAUGGACUUUGUUA
rnacentral:tRNA from 1 species